GUGUCGAGCGAUGAAGAAUUCAUAUUGGAAGCAGUGAUGGAAGACAGUUCAGAUGGAGUGUGCCCGAGCCUGCCACAGACUUUGAUGUGUCGUGGGAAAGUCUGAGACCAGGGGCUAAAGGAAAGGGGAGAGGAAAAGGUCGCUCCGAGGGUCGGGGAAGGACACGCUCAAGGGGUGAGGGCAGCAGGUUGAGGUCCAGAGCUCCUUCAAGAGGACCAGGGCGCCGGGGUAGGCAGCGAACAGCUUUCAAAGAAGAGGACCGAGACCGGCUUGCACAGCUGAGAGCUGCCAGUAUAGCUGAGAUGCAGACAGCUUUACAACACCUGAGCCAGGAGGAGAGAGAUUAUAUUCUUGAGAGAGUGGUGACCCGUCUUCCAGGGGUGAUGCUGGAUAUCCUGGAGUUUCGGCAAGAGACGCCAGGACACCGUCUUCCUGAAUGAGGGC